rnacentral:rRNA from 1 species
GCCGGCGGCGAGAGCACGUUGAUUACACCAGUUUCCGAAGGAUCACUGAAGUUAAGCUACGUUGCGUCGUUGGUAUCCGAAUGGGUGACCGGGCCAUCGCGUGCUGCUAGCU